AGCAAGCAGAUCCUGAGCCAUCGUGGCUGAUCAAAGAGAAGGUCCCCUCGAGACCCUCGAAUAAGUGGACCUGCUGGAUCGGUCAAGUGGCACCAGACAUGGGGCACGAGGUACGACCACCCUCCGAACAAUGGAUUAAAGAGGUACCACGCAGAUAGUGAGACAGUGGGAGAGUCCCCCACCACUUCACUAGAGUGUCACGGACGGACAUCGGACAUCGGAGGGAAUGCUUACAAGAGCAUGCUAGCUUCCAAUGUGACAGGCU